rnacentral:rRNA from 1 species
AUUGAACGCUGGCGGCAGGCCUAACACAUGCAAGUCGAGCGGAGCGGCGGACGGGUGAGUAAUGCCUAGGAAUCUGCCUGGUAGUGGGGGAUAACGUCCGGAAAGGGUAGCUAAUACCGCAUACUAUCAGAUCAGCCUAGGUCGGAUUAGCUAGUGGGUGGGGUAAAGGCCUACCAAGGCGACGAUCCGUAACUGGUCUGAGAGGAUGAUCAGGCACACGGGAACUGAGACACGGCCCAGACUCCUACGGGAGGCAGCAGUGGGGAAUGUUGGGCAAUGGGCGAAAGCCUGAUCCAGCCAUGCCGCGUGUGUGAUGAAGGUCUUCGGAUUGUAAAGCACUUUAAGUUGGGAGGCGUUACCAGCAGAAUAAGCACCGGCUAACUUCGUGCCAGCCGCCGCGGUAAUUC